UUCCACCCUUCGUGUGGAGACAGCGCCCUAGUGGAGGAAUCCUACACUUCCUCUGUUUGACAGAUCCCAGUAUCCAGCCUAAAUGACGUUAUGGACUCCUACCUCGUGUCAUCAAGACGCCUUCUUGUCUCCUGAGCUCCUGAACCCUGCUCCGUGAAUCUCCAGUCUCCUGUGUGAAUCUCCACCGCUCCAGAUCUUCAGUCUUCCGUGGGUGAUUCUACAUCCCCUAAGCUCCAGUUCGGCUAACCAAAGGACGGUAGCAUUAGCAUUCCCUCUUUCACUGGUCAUCCUUGUGUACAAUAAAAGCAUCCUGUCUCA